CGCGGUAAUACGUAGGGUGCAAGCGUUGUCCGGAAUUAUUGGGCGUAAAGAGCUCGUAGGCGGUUCGUCGCGUCGGCUGUGAAAACCUGAGGCUCAACCUCAGGCCUGCAGUCGAUACGGGCGGACUUGAGUUCGGCAGGGGAGACUGGAAUUCCUGGUGUAGCGGUGAAAUGCGCAGAUAUCAGGAGGAACACCGGUGGCGAAGGCGGGUCUCUGGGCCGAAACUGACGCUGAGGAGCGAAAGCGUGGGGAGCGAACAGGAUUAGAUACCCUGGUAGUCCACGCCGUAAACGUUGGGCGCUAGGUGUGGGGGCCAUUCCACGGUCUCCGUGCCGCAGCUAACGCAUUAAGCGCCCCGCCUGGGGAGUACGGCCGCAAGGCUAAAACUCAAAGGAAUUGACGGGGGCCCGCACAAGCGGCGGAGCAUGUUGCUUAAUUCGAUGCAACGCGAAGAACCUUACCUAGGCUUGACAUGCACGGAAAUCCUCCAGAGAUGGGGGGUCCGUAAGGGCCGUGCACAGGUGGUGCAUGGUUGUCGUCAGCUCGUGUCGUGAGAUGUUGGGUUAAGUCCCGCAACGAGCGCAACCCUCGUCCUAUGUUGCCAGCGAGUCAUGUCGGGGACUCAUAGGAGACUGCCGGGGUCAACUCGGAGGAAGGUGGGGAUGACGUCAAAUCAUCAUGCCCCUUAUGUCUAGGGCUGCAAACAUGCUACAAUGGCCGGUACAAAGGGCUGCGAUACCGCGAGGUGGAGCGAAUCCCAAAAAGCCGGUCUCAGUUCGGAUUGGGGUCUGCAACUCGACCCCAUGAAGUUGGAGUCGCUAGUAAUCGCAGAUCAGCAACGCUGCGGUGAAUACGUUCCCGGGCCUUGUACACACCGCCCGUCACGUCACGAAAGUCGGUAACGCCCGAA
rnacentral:rRNA from 1 species